rnacentral:rRNA from 1 species
AAGUUGACGGGGGCCCGCACAAGCGGUGGAGCAUGUGGUUUAAUUCGACGCAACGCGAAGAACCUUACCAGGGCUUGACAUCCCCUGACCGCGUAUGAAAGUACGUUUUCACCCUCGGGUGACAGGGAGACAGGUGGUGCAUGGUUGUCGUCAGCUCGUGUCGUGAGAUGUUGGGUUAAGUCCCGCAACGAGCGCAACCCCUACGUUUAGUUGCUAACGCGUGAAGGCGAGCACUCUAGACGAACUGCCGUUGACAAAACGGAGGAAGGUGGGGAUGACGUCAAAUCAUCAUGCCCCUUAUGUUCUGGGCUACACACGUGCUACAAUGGCCGGUACAGACGGACGCAAAGCCGCGAGGUGGAGCAAAUCCGAAAAAGCCGGUCUCAGUUCGGAUUGCAGGCUGCAAUUCGCCUGCAUGAAGUCGGAAUCGCUAGUAAUCGCAGGUCAGCAUACUGCGGUGAAUACGUUCCCGGGCCUU